AGUAACAAGGUCAAUCUAUACGAAUAGUUACAAUUAAAAAGUCAACGACAAAUAGACCAUAUUCUUAAUGAAUAUAAAUUAUUGGUACAAAAUUUUGCUUUUAACGUUAUCUCGAUCAGUUAUUUUCUAUAUACCAAAUUCCUAUUUUAAAUUACAAAUUUUAUAAAAACUGCAUAAGUAUAAAACUAUAUCAUAACUGAUAAAAAUCAGUCACCAGUCAAUACAGAGUGAAAAAUAUAAUAAGAAAAUGUUAAAAGCAUUUAUUUCAAAGAAAGUGGAGAUUGCUGACUUUGCCACGCAACGCCCCAAUUGGUUUUAUAUUGGAAAAUCAUAGGCAAACAAGGAUAAACAGUUGUAUACAAAUAAAUGUCGCGUUGUCAGAGUCAAGACAGUCAACAGAAAGGAUGCACCCGGCACACCCUGUAGUUCCUAUGGAGGACAGGACAUAACAGGAUAAUCACAAAACAUAAAAGUUGGUUAGACAACUCUUGCUCCACAAGAGACAAGGUCGCCAUCCUGGGGCUAUGGGUAUGAUACAAUGGUUUCCCACUGCCUUUUGCGCCAUUCGGGUAGCCAUUUAUAUCUCCAGACGGUUGCCCGCCUAGCUAGAGAAACAACUAGCGACCAAGAUUUAAACCACAGCUAGUGCGUAGAAGCACUGCGGCGGUAACCCUCUCAGCCACGGACAUUUAAAAACCAUAUACACAUAUUAUUGUUUUUUUCAAAUAAUAUUAUAUAA